rnacentral:rRNA from 1 species
GGGAGCAAACAGGAUUAGAUACCCUGGUAGUCCACGCCGUAAACGAUGUCGACUUGGAGGUUGUGCCCUUGAGGCGUGGCUUCCGGAGCUAACGCGUUAAGUCGACCGCCUGGGGAGUACGGCCGCAAGGUUAAAACUCAAAUGAAUUGACGGGGGCCCGCACAAGCGGUGGAGCAUGUGGUUUAAUUCGAUGCAACGCGAAGAACCUUACCUGGUCUUGACAUCCACGGAAGUUUUCAGAGAUGAGAAUGUGCCUUCGGGAACCGUGAGACAGGUGCUGCAUGGCUGUCGUCAGCUCGUGUUGUGAAAUGUUGGGUUAAGUCCCGCAACGAGCGCAACCCUUAUCCUUUGUUGCCAGCGGUCCGGCCGGGAACUCAAAGGAGACUGCCAGUGAUAAACUGGAGGAAGGUGGGGAUGACGUCAAGUCAUCAUGGCCCUUACGACCAGGGCUACACACGUGCUACAAUGGCGCAUACAAAGAGAAGCGACCUCGCGAGAGCAAGCGGACCUCAUAAAGUGCGUCGUAGUCCGGAUUGGAGUCUGCAACUCGACUCCAUGAAGUCGGAAUCGCUAGUAAUCGUGGAUCAGAAUGCCACGGUGAAUACGUUCCCGGGCCUUGUACACACCGCCCGUCACACCAUGGGAGUGGGUUGCAAAAGAAGUAGGUAGCUUAACCUUCGGGAGGGCGCUUACCACUUUGUGAUUCAUGACUGGGGUGAAGUCGUAACAAGGUAACCGUAGGGGAACCUGCGGUUGGAUCACC